GACUCAUGGCAAUAGAUAUCUCCGCUCUUGCAUCGAUGAAGAACGUAGCAAAAUACAAUACUUGGUGUGAAUUGCAGAAUCUCGUGAACCAUAGAGUAUUUGAAUCCAAGUUGCGCCCGAAGCUAUUAGGCCGAGGGUAAGUUUUCCUGGGCGUCA